GGUAUAUUGCUUUGCUCAUGUCGGUCUGUCGGUCGGUCUGUCCGUCCACCAGGUGGUUGUCAGACGAUAACUCAAGAACGCUUGGGCCUAGGAUCAUGAAACUUCAUAGGUACAUUGAUCAUGACUUGCAGAUGACCCCUAUAGAUUUUAAGGUCAAGGUCACGGUGACCCGAAAUAGUAAAAUGGUUUCCGGAUGAUAACUCAAGAACGCAUACGCCUAGGAUCAUGAAACUUCAUGGGUAGAUUGAUCAUGACUCGCAGAUGACCCCUAUUGAUUUUGAGGUCACUAGGUCAAAGGUCAAGGUCACGGUGACCCGAAAUAGUAAAAUGGUUUCCGGAUGAUAACUCAAGAACGCAUACGCCUAGGAUCAUGAAACUUCAUGGGUAGAUUGAUCAUGACUCGCAGAUGACCCCUAUUGAUUUUGAGGUCACUAGGUCAAAGGUCAAGGUCACGGUGACCCGAAAUAGUAAAAUGGUUUCCGGAUGAUAACUCAAGAACGCAUACGCCUAGGAUCAUGAAACUUCAUGGGUAGAUUGAUCAUGACUCGCAGAUGACCCCUAUUGAUUUUGAGGUCACUAGGUCAAAGGUCAAGGUCACUGUGACCCGAAAUAGUAAAAUGGUUUUCGGAUGAUAACUCAAGAACGCAUACGCCUAGGAUCAUGAAACUUCAUAGGUAGAUUGAUCAUGACUUGCAGAUGACCCCUUUUGAUUUUGAGGUCACAAGGUCAAAG